rnacentral:snoRNA from 1 species
UCACCAUAUGAAGAAAAUUUAUAUAGCUUGAGAUUUGCUGACAUGAUCAAAUCAAUGAAUGCUAAUUGUCAUAGUUACACUGAUGGAUC